AGCUUUGCACAGUGGCAGUAUCGUAGCCAAUGAGGUUUAUCUGAGGUGCGAUUAUUGCUAAUUGAAAACUUAUCCCAACACUCCGCCGUGAUGACAUGAAAUACAGUUGGCAUUGUCAAUUUUUGACAGUCUCUAUGGAGA
rnacentral:snRNA from 1 species